UUUCCGUAGGUGAACCUGCGGAAGGAUCAUUAUUGAAUCAAGUCUCUCACGAGGCUCAAUAUUCCACGUACCUCUGUGAACUGUCGUCGUGCCUCCGGGCCGAUAUCAAUACAAACAUGGUGUAACGAACGUGAAAACAUUUUAACAAAAUAAAACUUUCAACAACGGAUCUCUUGGCUCUC
rnacentral:misc_RNA from 1 species